UUGCUUUGACAGCACAUACACUAAAAUUGGAAUGAUACAGAAAAGAUUAGCAAUGGCCCCUUGCAAGGGUGACACACACAUUUAUGAAACAAUCCCUAUUUUU
rnacentral:snRNA from 1 species